rnacentral:lncRNA from 1 species
UUCCAGAUCUGAUCAACGCAUUUGAUCCUAAUCCCAACUUUGGGAUCAACGCAUGAAUUCCUUCACAUGAUCCUAAUCCUAACUUUUUUGCUUUUCAAUUUAUCCACCACAAUCACUUAGCUAUCAAAAAAAUUUCAGUGGCAACCCAGUUUUUUUCUUCAGAUCUGAUCUCAAUGAAGUGACAGAAUCUGCAUCUAGAACUUGUGAGCUGCUAUAUAUAUAGUGAUGAAUGCUGAUUUCAAUGGGGUCGUAUGUGAAAACGAGCUUUUUGUUGGAAUUUGUGGAGGAGAUAGUGAGAUUGAGCUCUGUGGUGAGCCGGGAGGAAUCGGCAGCGGUGGUGAUGAACAGUAGAGUUUAUCUUUCUACCGGGAAGAAGAUGAACAGUAG